CUGAAUCCUAAUAAUGAAGGAAACGCUUCUUUCUGAACUUUACACUGAGGUUGACCUGAGAUUUGAAACAUUACAUACACUCAGCUGACAGUUUACUAGGUAUCAUACAGGUUCACAUAGCUACAGUUAUCAUGUACAGUUACUGAGUGGUGGAUCAUUUCUGAGAUAUUGAGUGGCAUAUCAUUUUUGAGUUAUGGAAGUGUGGAUCAUUUCUGAGUUACAGAGUGGUGGAACAUUUCUGAGUUACAGAGUGGUGGAUCAUUUCUGAGUUACCAAGUGGUGGAUCAUUUCUAGU
ensembl:lncRNA